CAGUCGCCACGGUAAUGCGUAGGGUGCGAGCGUUAAUCGGAAUUACUGGGCGUAAAGCGUGCGCAGGCGGUUGUGUAAGACAGGUGUGAAAUCCCCGGGCUUAACCUGGGAACUGCGCUUGUGACUGCACAGCUAGAGUAUGGCAGAGGGGGGUGGAAUUCCACGUGUAGCAGUGAAAUGCGUAGAGAUGUGGAGGAACACCGAUGGCGAAGGCAGCCCCCUGGGCCAAUACUGACGCUCAUGCACGAAAGCGUGGGGAGCAAACAGGAUUAGAUACCCCUGUAGUCCCUGUCUCUUAUAA
rnacentral:rRNA from 1 species